rnacentral:lncRNA from 1 species
GGACCUUCAAACUUCACAUGCUGAUAGUACUCAUUGAGUACACGACCCCUACUGACUUUGGGGUCACCAGGUCAAAGGUCAAGGCGCUUCGGGGGCAUUUGUCACCAUUAGUGACAGCUCUUGUUUUCUAUUAUAUGAAGAAUAUCUUUUGCACAGAAAAGAAUCAUUCACUGGUUGUAGGUAUGGAUGGAAACAUCUGUCUCUGAGGUAACUGCUUUUGAGGUAACUUGGCAGAGCCUUGUUACUGUCUGAACAGUUGUUUUUGCAGAUAUUUCAAUCCCCAUUUUAAACUAGUGAAAGAAUCUUAUAAUUCUUUAUACAUUGCUACAUUUCAGAUCUUUUUUCAUAUGUUUUUGAAGCUUUUAAUUCUCAAAACGUUUGUGUUUAUUUUACAAGAUUAAGGUGCACAUAAAUUAUAUUUACAAGCAUGUGCUAGAACAUUUGUUUGUUUGAUAACAUUAUUUACUUUGCACAAUAUUUUGAUUUCUAUAGAAACGAUUCCUUUU